rnacentral:rRNA from 1 species
CAGCCGCCGCGGGAAUACGAAGGUGGCGAGCGUUGUCCGGAUUUAUUGGGCGUAAAGGGAGUGUAGGCGGUCUUUUAAGUCUGAUGUGAAAGCCCACGGCUCAACCGUGGAGGGUCAUUGGAAACUGGGAGACUUGAGUGCAGAAGAGGAGAGCGGAAUUCCAUGUGUAGCGGUGAAAUGCGUAGAUAUAUGGAGGAACACCAGUGGCGAAGGCGGCUCUCUGGUCUGUAACUGACGCUGAGGCUCGAAAGCGUGGGGAGCAAACAGGAUUAGAUACCCCUGUAGUCCCUGUCUCUUAUAC